GUCAUUGCAAGGUCAGCGGCGGGAUAAACGCUGGACUGCAGGCCGGUUCUGCUUUUCCUCGCCACCGCCGCCUCGUCUCGCAGAUUCUGGUGGGAACAGGCCAGCGUCUUCAACGCACAUUAAGACGGACCACAAGUCAAUGUUCAUAAGAACGUGGCGUACCUUGUUUGGCCAUACCGGGGAUGUCCUCGAAGGUCAGCGUCCGCAAAGACGGCCGCCAGAAGGCGUACGACUCCACCAGGGCCUCCAGGCCCAUCCUGCAAACGCAAAUCGGGUUAGCCACCUUGUAAAGCCAGCGCCAG